rnacentral:piRNA from 1 species
UGGAAAUCAGAGACACAGGAGGACCCUC